AUUGAACGCUGGCGGCAGGCCUAACACAUGCAAGUCGAGCGAGCGGCGGACGGGUGAGUAAGGUAUGGGGCUCUGCCGGAGAGAGGGGGAUCACUACUGGAAACGGUGGCUAAUAACGCAUACUAUCGGAUGAACCCAUAUGGGAUUAGCUAGUAGGUGGGGUACAGGCUCACCUAGGCGACGCUCUCUAGCUGGUCUGAGAUGAUGAUCAGCCACACUGGAACUGAGACACGGCCCAGACUCCUACGGGAGGCAGCAGUGGGGAAUAUUGCACAAUGGGCGCAAGCCUGAUGCAGCCAUGCCGCGUGUAUGAAGAAGGUCUUCGGGUUGUAAAGUACUUUCAGCGGGGAGGCGUUACCCGCAGAAGAAGCACCGGCUAACUCCGUGCCAGCAGCCGCGGUAAUAC
rnacentral:rRNA from 1 species